rnacentral:rRNA from 1 species
UACGUAGGGCGCAAGCGUUAUCCGGAAUUAUUGGGCGUAAAGAGCUCGUAGGCGGUUUGUCGCGUCUGCCGUGAAAGUCCGGGGCUCAACUCCGGAUCUGCGGUGGGUACGGGCAGACUAGAGUGAUGUAGGGGAGACUGGAAUUCCUGGUGUAGCGGUGAAAUGCGCAGAUAUCAGGAGGAACACCGGUGGCGAAGGCGGUUCUCUGGGCCUGUACUGACGCUGAGGAACGAAAGCGUGGGGAGCGAACAGG